rnacentral:rRNA from 1 species
UACGUAGGGGGCAAGCGUUGUCCGGAAUUAUUGGGCGUAAAGCGCGCGCAGGCGGUUCUUUAAGUCUGGUGUCUAAGUGCGGGGCUCAACCCCGUGAUGCACUGGAAACUGGGGAACUUGAGUGCAGAAGAGAAAAGCGGAAUUCCACGUGUAGCGGUGAAAUGCGUAGAGAUGUGGAGGAACACCAGUGGCGAAGGCGGCUUUUUGGUCUGUAACUGACGCUGAGGCGCGAAAGCGUGGGGAGCAAACAGG